CUGAGAACAAUGACACGGGUGCGCGUGUGCAUGUGAAGACUCCAUUUUCUAUUUUCAGUGUUUGAACGAAAACAAGGUCUCCCGGUCGGAAUAUUAUCGCUAUUUUAUGAGAAAAAUCGCAUACAAAUUUAUUUUAAACAGCGUUUGACAUGCUUCGAAGUACGGUAAGGGAAUAUUUUGAAAUUUUAUGCCACGAUAGGCGCCGACGCGUCACCCUUCGGAUAGUGUCUUGAACGCAAGAACAAAACGCAGCUAUUUGGAUAUAACUAUGGAUUACUUGGAACCAAAACAACAUUGGGUGUUGAAGUAGAAGUCCUGGGAGUGCAUUCUGACGAAGAACAGCAAAGGGUCUUGCAGCACCGGUCUAGGUCUGCACCCUGGCUGUCUGCCUGUUCUCCAGAGCUGGCCUGCCUACAUCACCUACGUGUCUGACAUAGUCCGAGACCUGCAGGAGAGUGAGAAGAGGAGGGGAGAGAACUCUACCUGUGUCACUCAGACCGCAUGGGCGUCACCCCACCGCCAACAAGUCACAGGAGUGGCAGAUCAAGGCACCCUGACAACCCAUAGGUUGUUUCCAUGGCAACUAGACCAACAGACAGGGGGCAUUGGUCUCCCAUCCUCACUCCUCCUCUGCCCUGCCCCAGACACACAGCCAAGGAUUGGAGGAG
rnacentral:lncRNA from 1 species